rnacentral:rRNA from 3 species
UUAAAUUGAAGAGUUUGAUCAUGGCUCAGAUUGAACGCUGGCGGCAGGCCUAACACAUGCAAGUCGAACGGUAACAGGAG